UACGUAGGGGGCAAGCGUUGUCCGGAUUUAUUGGGCGUAAAGAGCGUGUAGGCGGCUAGAUAGGUCCGUUGUGAAAACUCGAGGCUCAACCUCGAGACGCGGUGGAAACCAUCUAGCUAGAGUCCGGAAGAGGAGAGUGGAAUUCCUGGUCGUAGCGGUGAAAUGACGCAGAUAUCAGGAAGAACACCCGUGGCGAAGGCGGCUCUCUGGUACGUGACUGACGCUGAGACGCGAAAGCGUGGGGAGCGAACAGG
rnacentral:rRNA from 1 species